rnacentral:rRNA from 1 species
UCCAAUGGGGGAAAGUCUGACGGAGAGACGCCGCGUGAUUGAUGAAGUCCCUAUGGGACGUAAAGAUUUUUUAUGAGGGAAGAAGUUUAUUGAUUGUACCUCAAGAAUAAGAGGUUCCUAAUCUCGUGCCAGCAGGAGCGGUAAUACGAGAGCCUCGAGCGUUAUCCGGAAUUAUUGGGCGUAAAGGGUGCGUAGGUGGUUUUAUUAGUCUUUUGUCAAAACCUGGAGCUUAACUCCAGGAUCGCACCAGAAACGGUAAAACUAGAAAGUGCAAGAGGUAUACGGAACUCAUGGUGUAGGGGUAAAAUCCGUUGAUAUCAUGGGGAACACCAAAUGCGAAGGCAGUAUACUGGCGCAUUCCUGACGCUGAGGCACGAAAGCGU